GUUAGCCUUGAGCUGAAAGAGAACACAGAAGAUACAGUCAACUGACACCGUGAGGAAAUAAUCAGGCAGAUUCAGAGCACACUGCAUGGACUCUUUGGGCCCUUUGAAGAACUCAGGCUUUACAAAAGUUAACCUCAUGAAAAAUUAAAGGACAAGUCAACAUCCAUGUGAACGUACACAAUGAUCCCCAGGCAGAAAAAGAUUCCGCUGAGCCAACAGAUAGCUGUGAUUCCGUUAGUGGUAGUGAAAGUCGUCCUACACAACAACCCUCCUCUCUCUUGUCUCCCUCACACCGGCCACGAAGGUUUUCAAAGUGACUCCUUUUCACCUGGCCACUUCAGCCAAAUUACUCAAACGGGAGCCCUAUGCAGACGCACAAAAAGCAUCCUGGAAAGGGAAAAUUUUUACAAGGAGAAAGGGAAAUGAAUCCAGUAGAGAUUCUAAUGUGCCUUUCUUCCUAGCCACAGGGGAAAGCAUUUAUAUCUUCUCAAACAUAAUUACCUUCCUGGUGUUUAAUGAAUUCAACUUUAAUUCAUGCCAUCCAAUUUAAAUCUGCGAAAAUUCUAGACAUGGGGGAAACUUCCUUCUUGCGUUUGUUGGUCUGGUAUAUAAAAGUAAAGCUUUAAAUGUCUAGAGAUUAUUGAUUUGGUUGUUUACUGGGAGAAGUCCAGCGGGGUGUCCUUUGAAGCAAUUACCUAAAGUAUCUCAACAUGUCUCGCAAAUAUAAAAACAAGCCCCCAGAGAAGAACCCUGGCCGGUAGAACGAAUGGCCUGGAAAAGUUGAAGGUCCAGAACCUGAAGAGACCAGAGGUUUUUUCAGUCUUCGGCAGAUACCGGGGUCACCUGGGGAGAUUGUUAAAAAUACAGCUGCCCGGUCCAGUUGGCUGAGUCUGAAUCUAUGGCGAGGGGCCCCAGUAUCUAUAUUUUUUAACAAGCUCCGCAGAUGAUUCUGGUCUAUACCGCCGCUUGAGGAUGUUAGACCCAACUCUUGGAAACGGCUAUAUUGUUUCA